rnacentral:rRNA from 1 species
CCUACGGGGGGCAGCAGUGAGGAAUAUUGGUCAAUGGGCGAGAGCCUGAACCAGCCAAGUCGCGUGAAGGAUGAUGGCCCUACGGGUUGUAAACUUCUUUUGUCAGGGAGCAAUUGAGUCCACGUGUGGUCUUAGCGAGAGUACCUGAAGAAAAAGCAUCGGCUAACUCCGUGCCAGCAGCCGCGGUAAUACGUAGGGGGCAAGCGUUAUCCGGAUUUACUGGGUGUAAAGGGAGCGUAGACGGCUAAUCAAGUCAGAAGUGAAAACCCAGGGCUCAAGCUUGGGACUGCUUUUGAAACGGAGUAGCUAGAGUGCAGGAGAGGUAAGCGGAAUUCCUAGUGUAGCGGUGAAAUGCGUAGAUAUUAGGAGGAACACCAGUGGCGAAGGCGGCUUACUGGACUGUAACUGACGUUGAGGCUCGAAAGCGUGGGGAGCAAACAGGAUUAGAUACCCUUGUAGUC